CCUCACUGCUGCCCCUUCUGACCUUGAACGUGGAAUAGCUCCUCUAGGCCCUCCUGCGCCCGCGCAGCCACUGCUCCUUGGAAGGUGGGGUUGCUCCUCCUGGCCGCGGCCCCUGGCCUCUGGCGUGGGGUAGGUCCUCCCAGCCGCUGUCCUGGUCUCGGACGCGGGGUAGGUCCUCUCGGCUGCUGCCCCUGACCUCAGACAUGGGGUAUCUCCUCUUGGCCCCCUGCCCUCGGGCAUGGGUUCCUCCCAGCUUCUGCCUCGGACAUUGGGUAGCUCCUCUGGGCCACGCUAAGUGAGGCUAGAGUUAUAGAAAACCUUGGGGAAGGGGAAGGCAGGUGUGUAGGGGUGUUGUAAAUAAAUUGUAAAACAGAGUAGGUCCCAAGUAGAAUACCAAAAAAAUCAAAACAGUAGGUCUCAAAACUCUGUGAAGAUCGAAGAAAUGGAGUCUUUCUUGCCAUAUCAGUAAAGAAGGCUGUCACAGUCAUCAGUGAUUCUGGUGCUCCAAAGGUGAAUUCCUGAGCCCUAAGGGCACUCAGGAAGGAGAACACCAGCACGAUCUGCUGGCCAUCAGGCUGCAGUCACUCCCUAUAGUGAGCACUGAGGAACUCAGGAUAUGAAAAGCAAAGGGUACAGGCACUUGAUAGCUGAGAUGCAUAUGAAAGGAAUGAUUUCAGUAAGCCCAGACUCUUACAUCUUCCUCUACAUAGUGCACGUGUGCAUGCUAAAUUGCCUUAGUCACGUCUGAUUCUGUGUGACCUUAUGGACUGUAGCCUGCUAGGCUCCUCUGUCCAUGAGAUUCUCCAGGAAAGAAUACUGGCAGGGGUUGCCAUGCCUUCUUCCAGGGGAUCUUCCUGAGUCAGAGAUCUAACCUGCAUCUCUUCUGUCUCCCGCAUUGGAGGUGUUGGAGAGAGAGACAAAAGAAAGUAAGUGUCCAGAGCAUUCUGAAUUUCAACUCUGGGUCAAGUGGUCUGGUGGAUCUGAGGGACAUUUUUGAAGAUUUGGCAUCUGAACUGAUAUGCAGCCAGAGUAACUGCCAUGUUAUCAAGCACUGCUUUCUAAACGAGGAAAAACCAGAUCAGAGAGUUUAGAAGAGGAAACUGAUGCAUGAGUUGUUUAGCCCCUUCCUCUUUUCCUCUUCUUGGGACCCAGUGGCCUAGAAAGGAGCACACCACUUUAUUCCUCCAUGUGGAUCUUGGGAUCAAUUUCUAAUGCAGACAUCCUCAACUAUCUCUCAUGUCAAGAGCCAAUUGAGAUGACAUCUAUCAAUGCCCAGCAUAAACACUGUCAUCCCAGUGAGCUUCAGCCUGUCUGAACAGAUGGGGCUUGGAUCUCUGGACUCAUUAUUUACCUUCCCAGCUCUUCCUCUCCUCUGGCAAAGUGCUUGGACCCAGUUACACACAAAGCCAAAUGGCUUGUGUUUUUGUUCACAGAUUGUACAUUGUCCUUUUCUUCCUCUUGGCACCUUUAGCCAUUUGUCAUCUUUAUAGAACUGAUUCAAGAAGAUUUG
ensembl:lncRNA